rnacentral:lncRNA from 1 species
CUACAACUUGAGUAAAUCCACCAAAUCCCAAGUAUGAUUUUCAUCGAGAGCAUUUAUCUUCUGAAGCAUUACAUUAUACUAAAUAGAGUGAUUUAAAGUCUUCUUAACUGUUUUGGGUAUGGAAAUUGAAUCUAUAGAAGUCAUUAAAGAGGCAAACGAUGGAAAUAGAUGAUCAUAUAAAAUAAGAUUAGCAAUGGGAUAAAAAAAUUUAGGAAGAGUGUACUGACGUUUACUUCUGCGAAGACUAAUGGUUAGAUCAAGGUCAUGGG